UGCAGCCUACGGGGCGCAGCAGUGGGGAAUAUUGCACAAUGGGGGGAACCCUGAUGCAGCGACGCCGCGUGAGUGAAGAAGUAUUUCGGUAUGUAAAGCUCUAUCAGCAGGGAAGAAAAUGACGGUACCUGACUAAGAAGCCCCGGCUAACUACGUGCCAGCAGCCGCGGUAAUACGUAGGGGGCAAGCGUUAUCCGGAAUUACUGGGCGUAAAGGGCGCGUAGGUGGGCGCUUAAGUCAGGUGUGAAAACUCCGGGCUCAACCUGGAGACUGCACUUGAAACUGGUUGUCUUGAGGGCAGGAGG
rnacentral:rRNA from 1 species